CAUCCAUGUACAUCCACAUGCUUACGCAAACGUGGCAGAGGUUGUCUUACCUUCUCUGCGUUCUGUGCCGGUCUGCAAACAAAACAAACGAAAAAGUCAGUCAAAACCAUGUGAGGAAGCUAAGGGAGUAUCUGUGUUUUUGUAACCACGAUGUUGUGUGUUACCUGUGGGACUGGGGCUGGGAGUCGGCGAAUCUCGGAUGUGUCCGUCCAGCUCUGGAGAAAACACUCCACUGUGUUGUCAUGUAGGAGAAGCCUCUGCCCUCCCCGAGGACCCUGUUCGACCUCCUCUGCUUCCUCCACCAAGCGGUUCUUGUUCUCGUCCGGACUGCAGCUGGGCUCGGAGUCGUUCAGAAGCUCCGGGUUUGUUA